rnacentral:rRNA from 1 species
CCCCUAGAUGUUCUGGGCCGCACGCGCGCUACACUGAACAGUUCAACAAGUCUUAACCUUGGCCGAUAGGUCUGGGUAAUCUUUGAACGCUGUUCGUGAUUGGGAUAGACCUUUGCAAUUAUGGGUCUUCAACGAGGAAUUCCUAGUAAACGCAAGUCAUCAGCUUGCAUUGAUUACGUCCCUGCCCUUUGUACACACCGCCCGUCGCACCUACCGAUUGAAUGGUCCGGUGAAAUCUCGGGACGGCGGCUUGGUCGCUUGCGUCCGACUGCUGAAACUUGAUUAAACCAUNUNAUUUAGNGGAAGGUGGANUCGUANCA